UUAAGCGACUAAGCGUACACGGUGGAUGCCCUGGCAGUCAGAGGCGAUGAAGGACGUGCUAAUCUGCGAAAAGCGCCGGCGAGGUGAUAUGAACCCUUGACCCGGCGAUGUCCGAAUGGGGAAACCCAGUGCAAUCCGUUGCACUAUCGUUAACUGAAUACAUAGGUUAACGAGGCGAACCGGGGGAACUGAAACAUCUAAGUACCCCGAGGAAAAGAAAUCAACCGAGAUUCCCCCAGUAGCGGCGAGCGAACGGGGAGCAGCCCGGAGUCUGAAUCAGCUUGUGUGUUAGUGGAACGGUCUGGAAAGUCCGACGGUACAGGGUGAUAGUCCCGUACACGAAAGCACACUUGCUGUGAACUCGAAGAGUAGGGCGGGACACGUGGUAUCCUGUCUGAAUAUGGGGGGACCAUCCUCCAAGGCUAAAUACUCCUGACUGACCGAUAGUGAACCAGUACCGUGAGGGAAAGGCGAAAAGAACCCCGGCGAGGGGAGUGAAAAAGAACCUGAAACCGUGUACGUACAAGCAGUGGGAGCCUCUUUAUGGGGUGACUGCGUACCUUUUGUAUAAUGGGUCAGCGACUUAUAUUCUGUAGCAAGGUUAACCGUAUAGGGGAGCCGAAGGGAAACCGAGUCUUAACUGGGCGUUAAGUUGCAGGGUAUAGACCCGAAACCCGGUGAUCUAGCCAUGGGCAGGUUGAAGGUUGGGUAACACUAACUGGAGGACCGAACCGACUAAUGUUGAAAAAUUAGCGGAUGACCUGUGGCUGGGGGUGAAAGGCCAAUCAAACCGGGAGAUAGCUGGUUCUCCCCGAAAGCUAUUUAGGUAGCGCCUCGUGAACUCAUCUUCGGGGGUAGAGCACUGUUUCGGCUAGGGGGCCAUCCCGGCUUACCAACCCGAUGCAAACUACGAAUACCGAAGAAUGUUAUCACGGGAGACACACGGCGGGUGCUAACGUCCGUCGUGAAGAGGGAAACAACCCAGACCGCCAGCUAAGGUCCCAAAGUCAUGGUUAAGUGGGAAACGAUGUGGGAAGGCACAGACAGCCAGGAUGUUGGCUUAGAAGCAGCCAUCAUUUAAAGAAAGCGUAAUAGCUCACUGGUCGAGUCGGCCUGCGCGGAAGAUGUAACGGGGCUAAACCAUGCACCGAAGCUGCGGCAGCGACACUAUGUGUUGUUGGGUAGGGGAGCGUUCUGUAAGCCGUUGAAGGUGUGCUGUGAGGCAUGCUGGAGGUAUCAGAAGUGCGAAUGCUGACAUAAGUAACGAUAAAGCGGGUGAAAAGCCCGCUCGCCGGAAGACCAAGGGUUCCUGUCCAACGUUAAUCGGGGCAGGGUGAGUCGACCCCUAAGGCGAGGCCGAAAGGCGUAGUCGAUGGGAAACAGGUUAAUAUUCCUGUACUUGGUGUUACUGCGAAGGGGGGACGGAGAAGGCUAUGUCAGCCGGGCGACGGUUGUCCCGGUUUAAGCAUGUAGGCGGAGGUUCCAGGUAAAUCCGGUACCUUAUUAACGCUGAGGUGUGAUGACGAGGCACUACGGUGCUGAAGUGAUAAAUGCCCUGCUUCCAGGAAAAGCCUCUAAGCAUCAGGUAACACGAAAUCGUACCCCAAACCGACACAGGUGGUCAGGUAGAGAAUACCAAGGCGCUUGAGAGAACUCGGGUGAAGGAACUAGGCAAAAUGGUGCCGUAACUUCGGGAGAAGGCACGCUGAUGUGUAGGUGAAGUCCCUGCGGACGGAGCUGAAAUCAGUCGAAGAUACCAGCUGGCUGCAACUGUUUAUUAAAAACACAGCACUGUGCAAACACGAAAGUGGACGUAUACGGUGUGACGCCUGCCCGGUGCCGGAAGGUUAAUUGAUGGGGUUAGCGGCAACGCGAAGCUCUUGAUCGAAGCCCCGGUAAACGGCGGCCGUAACUAUAACGGUCCUAAGGUAGCGAAAUUCCUUGUCGGGUAAGUUCCGACCUGCACGAAUGGCGUAAUGAUGGCCAGGCUGUCUCCACCCGAGACUCAGUGAAAUUGAACUCGCUGUGAAGAUGCAGUGUACCCGCGGCAAGACGGAAAGACCCCGUGAACCUUUACUAUAGCUUGACACUGAACACUGGUCCUUGAUGUGUAGGAUAGGUGGGAGGCUUUGAAGCGUGGACGCCAGUCUGCGUGGAGCCAACCUUGAAAUACCACCCUUUAAUGGCUGGUGUUCUAACGUAGACCCGUAAUCCGGGUUGCGGACAGUGUCUGGUGGGUAGUUUGACUGGGGCGGUCUCCUCCCAAAGAGUAACGGAGGAGCACGAAGGUUGGCUAAUCCUGGUCGGACAUCAGGAGGUUAGUGCAAUGGCAUAAGCCAGCUUGACUGCGAGCGUGACGGCGCGAGCAGGUGCGAAAGCAGGUCAUAGUGAUCCGGUGGUUCUGAAUGGAAGGGCCAUCGCUCAACGGAUAAAAGGUACUCCGGGGAUAACAGGCUGAUACCGCCCAAGAGUUCAUAUCGACGGCGGUGUUUGGCACCUCGAUGUCGGCUCAUCACAUCCUGGGGCUGAAGUAGGUCCCAAGGGUAUGGCUGUUCGCCAUUUAAAGUGGUACGCGAGCUGGGUUUAGAACGUCGUGAGACAGUUCGGUCCCUAUCUGCCGUGGGCGCUGGAGAAUUGAGGGGGGCUGCUCCUAGUACGAGAGGACCGGAGUGGACGCAUCACUGGUGUUCGGGUUGUCAUGCCAAUGGCACUGCCCGGUAGCUAAAUGCGGAAGAGAUAAGUGCUGAAAGCAUCUAAGCACGAAACUUGCCCCGAGAUGAGUUCUCCCUGAGACUUUAAGUCUCCUGAAGGAACGUUGAAGACGACGACGUUGAUAGGUCGGGUGUGUAAGCGCAGCGAUGCGUUGAGCUAACCGAUACUAAUGAACCGUGAGGCUUAACCU
rnacentral:rRNA from 1 species